rnacentral:rRNA from 1 species
AUUGAACGCUGGCGGCAGGCUUAACACAUGCAAGUCGAGCGGAGCGAGGGUGCUUGCACCUUAGCUUAGCGGCGGACGGGUGAGUAAUGCUUAGGAAUCUGCCUAUUAGUGGGGGACAACAUUCCGAAAGGAAUGCUAAUACCGCAUACGCCCUACGGGGGAAAGCAGGGGCUCUUCGGACCUUGCGCUAAGAGAUGAGCAUAAGUCGGAUUAGCUAGUUGGUGGGGUAAAGGCCUACCAAGGCGACGAUCUGUAGCGGGUCUGAGAGGAUGAUCCGCCACACUGGGACUGAGACACGGCCCAGACUCCUACGGGAGGCAGCAGUGGGGAAUAUUGGACAAUGGGCGGAAGCCUGAUCCAGCCAUGCCGCGUGUGUGAAGAAGGCCUUUUGGUUGUAAAGCACUUUAAGCGAGGAGGAGGCUACUAGUAUUAAUACUACUGGAUAGUGGACGUUACUCGCAGAAUAAGCACCGGCUAACUCUGUGCCAGCAGCCGCAGUAAUAC